GACGAACGCUGGCGGCGUGCUUAACACAUGCAAGUCGAACGGAGUGGCGAACAGGUGAGUAACACGUGGGUGACAUGCCCUGCAACUCGGGAUAAGUCUGGGAAACUGGGUCUAAAACCGGAUCGUGUGGGAUGGGCCCGCGGCCUAUCUGCUUGUUGGUGGGGUAAUGGCCGACCAAGGCGGCGAAGGGUAGCCGGCCUGAGAGGGUGGACGGCCACAUUGGGAAUGGGACACAGCCCAGACUGCUACGGGAGGGAGCGGUGGGGAAGAUUGCACAAUGGGCGGAAGCCUGAUGCAGCGACGCCGCGUGGGGGAUGACGGCCUUCUGGUUGUAAACUCCUUUCACCAUCGAGGCGGUAGAUGGAGAAGAAGCACCGGCUAACUACGUGCCAGCAGCCGCGGUAAUUC
rnacentral:rRNA from 1 species